AGGCAUAGCCUAGUGGUGGGGAGGGGUUGAUGCCUUCCCACCCACCCGAGUUCGAGUCCUCAUGCUCGCAAUUUCGGUGAUGUUGUAUCCCUGCUAUCAAAAUACCACGUGGCCCCUCCCACGUAGGAAUCAUUUUUAUGUGGAGGCCUGCCGUGCAGAGAAAGGUUCCUAAUUCCCGUCGUAGUGGUGAGCACGUGGUCGUUGCAGUGGUACACACACGUGUACUACCGAUACGUUGGAUCGCUGACCACACCACCGUGCAUCGAGAACAUCAUCUGAAACAUCCUCAGACAGGUGAGGGAGAUGACGAUGGAGCAGGCCGCCGCCCUGGAUGAAGGCUACAUGCGCAACAACAGGCCGACACAGCAGCUCAACGGCUGCACCGUGCAGCUAUAUCACCGGUUUGGGAGAACAAGACGAACGAGGCCUGAUCGAUGUGCAUCGGUCCUUUGAAGAUGAUGGCACAAAAGUUAUUGCAGUUUCUUUUCUUUUUGGUUUCGUUUCACCAAAAGAUAAUCUGUAGUUGUUAUUUCUGAACUCGUGUUAGGUUCCUAGCAAGAUUUGCUCUGUCAGUUUGAUGUGAUAUAGAUCGAGGGAUUUGGACCUCCAAGAAAUCUCACAUUUUCGUGAUGACCUGAUCAUGUGUGGUUAUGCUUGCUGGAAGUUUACACUUUGAUGUAAUAUUGGUUGAGGGAUUUGGAAGAUCGAUCA